UGGGGAAUUUUUGGACAAUGGGGGAAACCCUGAUCCAGCCAUCCCGCGUGUGCGAUGAAGGCCUUCGGGUUGUAAAGCACUUUUGGCAGGAAAGAAACGUCGCGGGUUAAUACCCCGCGAAACUGACGGUACCUGCAGAAUAAGCACCGGCUAACUACGUGCCAGCAGCCGCGGUAAUACGUAGGGUGCAAGCGUUAAUCGGAAUUACUGGGCGUAAAGCGUGCGCAGGCGGUUCGGAAAGAAAGAUGUGAAAUCCCAGAGCUUAACUUUGGAACUGCAUUUUUAACUACCGGGCUAGAGUGUGUCAGAGGGAGGUGGAAUUCCGCGUGUAGCAGUGAAAUGCGUAGAUAUGCGGAGGAACACCGAUGGCGAAGGCAGCCUCCUGGGAUAACACUGACGCUCAUGCACGAAAAGCGUGGGGAGCAAAACAGGAUUAGAUACCCUGGUAGUCCACGCCCUAAAACGAUGUCAACUAGCUGUUGGGGGCCUUCGGGCCUUGGUAGCGCAGCUAACGCGUGAAGUUGACCGCCUGGGGAGUACGGUCGCAAGAUUAAAAAAGCUUAAAUGAAUUGACGGGGGUCAUAGCUGUUU
rnacentral:rRNA from 1 species